GAUGAACGCUCGCUACAGGCUUAACACAUGCAAGUCGAGGGGAAACGAUGAGAGAGCUUGCUCUCUUAGUCGUCGACCGGCGCACGGGUGAGUAACGCGUAUCCAACCUGCCUCUGACCAAGGGAUAACCCGUCGAAAGUCGGACUAAUACCUUAUGCAGUCGUCGGAAGUCAUCUGAUGACGACGAAAGAUUUCAUCGGUGAGAGAUGGGGAUGCGUCUGAUUAGCUUGUUGGCGGGGUAACGGCCCACCAAGGCGACGAUCAGUAGGGGUUCUGAGAGGAAGGUCCCCCACAUUGGAGCUGAGACACGGUCCAAACUCCUACGGGAGGCAGCGGUGAGGAAUGUAGGUCGAUGGGCGUAAGCCUGAACCAGCCAAGUGGCGUGCAGGAUGACGGCCCUAUGGGUUGUAAGCUGCUUUUAUGCGGGGAUAAAGUGAGGGACGUGUCCUUCAUUGCAGGUACCGCAUGAAUAAGGACCGGCUAAUUCCGUG
rnacentral:rRNA from 1 species